UCCGGUAUAGUAUAACGGCCAUUAUAUCGCGUUUUCAUCAAAAACGAUUUCCCAUUCGGGGAGAUUCGUCCAGAUAUUUCCGCGAAGACCGGGGUUCGAUUCCCCGUACCGGAG
rnacentral:tRNA from 1 species